rnacentral:rRNA from 1 species
CCUACGGGAGGCAGCAGUAGGGACUUUUGCGCCAUGGGCGAAAGCCUGACGCAGCAACGCCGCGUGAUUGAUUAAGCCCUUCGGGGUGUAAAGAUCUGUCAGUGGGGACGAAACUUGACGGUACCCACAGAGGCAGCACCGGCUAACUCCGUGCCAGCAGCCGCGGUAAUACGGAGGUUGCAAGCGUUGUCCGGAAUCAGUGGGCGUAAAGGGUCCGUAGGUGGCAUAUUAAGUCUGGUGUUAACUGCAGAAGCUCAACUUCUGUUCGGCACUGGUUACUGGUAAGCUGGAAUGCGGUAGAGGUAAAGGGAAUUCCUGGUGUAGCGGUGAAAGGCGGAGAUAUCAGGAGGAACAUCGGUGGCGUAAGCGCUUUACUGGGCCGUAAUUGACACUGAGGAACGAAAGCCGGGGUAGCAAAUGGGAUUAGAUACCCUGGUAGUC